AACGAACGCUGGCGGCGUGCUUAACACAUGCAAGUCGAACGAUGAAGCUGGAGCUUGCUCCGGUGGAUUAGUGGCGAACGGGUGAGUAACACGUGAGCAAUCUGCCCUUCACUCUGGGAUAACUGCGGGAAACUGUAGCUAAUACCGGAUACGAGGCUUGGAGGCAUCUCCAGGUCUGGAAAGAAUUUCGGUGAAGGAUGAGCUAGCGGCCUAUCAGCUUGUUGGUGAGGUAAUGGCUCACCAAGGCGACGACGGGUAGCCGGCCUGAGAGGGUGACCGGCCACACUGGGACUGAGACACGGCCCAGACUCCUACGGGAGGCAGCAGUGGGGAAUAUUGCACAAUGGGCGAAAGCCUGAUGCAGCAACGCCGCGUGAGGGAUGAAGGCCUUCGGGUUGUGAACCUCUUUUAGCAGGGAAGAAGCGAAAGUGACGGUACCUGCAGAAAAAGCACCGGCUAACUACGUGCCAGCCGCCGCCGUAA
rnacentral:rRNA from 1 species